GACGAACGCUGGCGGCGUGCCUAAUACAUGCAAGUUGAGCGCUGAAGGUUGGUACUUGUACCAACUGGAUGAGCAGCGAACGGGUGAGUAACGCGUGGGGAAUCUGCCUUUGAGCGGGGGACAACAUUUGGAAACGAAUGCUAAUACCGCAUAAAAACUUUAAACACAAGUUUUAAGUUUGAAAGAUGCAAUUGCAUCACUCAAAGAUGAUCCCGCGUUGUAUUAGCUAGUUGGUGAGGUAAAGGCUCACCAAGGCGAUGAUACAUAGCCGACCUGAGAGGGUGAUCGGCCACAUUGGGACUGAGACACGGCCCAAACGCCUACGGGAGGCAGCAGUAGGGAAGCUUCGGCAAUGGACGAAAGUCUGACCGAGCAACGCCGCGUGAGUGAAGAAGGUUUUCGGAUCGUAAAACUCUGUUGGUAGAGAAGAACGUUGGUGAGAGUGGAAAGCUCAUCAAGUGACGGUAACUACCCAGAAAGGGACGGCUAACUACGUG
rnacentral:rRNA from 1 species